rnacentral:lncRNA from 1 species
AUGGUUUUCCAAUGUGCUUUUCGGUCCGGCGGUCAGGUGGGCCACCCCAUGGGCCAUUCACUCAUUCGAGUGUCGAUUCCUCCAUCCGAUGGCCGCUCCCCAAGUGUAGACACUGUGUCCAGCAGACAAGCCAGGGAAGCUUCGUGUCCACCACCGUGCUGGCCCCCUGCCCCCCCAGGAGCACGCCUUGCCUGGGGAGGGGUGCCCACGAAGGAGGGGAACCCCAGCCUUUGGGGGAGCUGGGGGCAUCGACGGGCCCCCUCAGCGGCCUGGCCCUCCCCCCACCCCCCCACCCGACCUCGCGUCGGUAAGCCCUCAGGCCUGCCCUUGCCCGGGUACACCCUCUUCGUGGAAUCUGUGCUGCCGCUACCCUGGGAACUUUCCAUCGGAAAAUGUUGGGUGGGGUGGGCGGGUGGACAGGCCGGGGCAGGCCGCAGACGCACUGUGGGUGGAGGGGCUCGCCCGUCCCACACCGCAGCACGGCCUCCCUGCCCUUCACAUUCUGAUCUCAUCCUCUACCCUCAGGCCCGGACAGUGCCUGCUGUGUGGCACCCCCCGUGCCCCCCCAGCGGCCAGGCUGUCCUCUCAGCACCCAGGGAGUUUCCAGACCGGUUGCCCCAUCUGGCCCCUGGGCCACUUCCCCUCCCCCCACUCCUUCUCAGACCUCCUGGGGGGCGGGGGGAGGGGCUCUGGGUCCUCACACCCUGUUCACGCAUCUGCCUCCUGCCCAAGAGAGGGUGCCUCCGCAGAGCUAGCCAAAGGCUCAUGGCUGAGGAUGGGGAGGCCAGGGGCCCGGAAAGGCCUUGGAGCCGACUCAGGGCAGCCUCUGGCCCUUCCCAGGGGCACUUGGGGCCAGGGUCUGGGGCUGAGCCCGGCUCCUCCUGGGCAGGGACAGUAACAGCCACCCGGUGGGACUCCGAGAUGGCCUCACCCCCCUGGUGGCAGCCUGGGCUGGCCAGGUGGCCUUCCUCCCACACAGAGUCCAGCCCUGACCUCCAGGCUGCAUCACAUCCCAGUCUGCCGACACGGCAGAAACUCGUAGCAAACCACGGCUGUGGGCACCGUCAUUCUCAGGACCAGUCCUCAAGGCCGCCACUGGGCUCUGGCACAGGCUACGUCCUCUUCCAAGAUGUCCCUUCUCCUUGCGCAUUCGAGCUGGUGCUCCCCGGGCACCCCUUCCUGAGGCCCCACCUGCCCUAG